rnacentral:rRNA from 1 species
AUUGAACGCUGGCGGCAUGCCUUACACAUGCAAGUCGAACGGCAGCACGUGGCAACCUGGUUGCGAGUGGCGAACGGGUGAGUAAUGCAUCGGAACGUACCUUUCAGUGGGGGAUAACGUAGCGAAAGUUACGCUAAUACCGCAUAUUCUGUGAGCAGGAAAGCAGGGGAUCGCAAGACCUUGCGCUGUUUGAGCGGCAGGUGUCAGAUUAGCUAGUUGGUGAGGUAAAGGCUCACCACGGCGACGAUCUGUAGCGGGUCUGAGAGGAUGAUCCGCCAAACUGGGACUGAGACACGGUCCAGACUCCUACGGGAGGCAGCAGUGGGGAAUUUUGGACAAUGGGGGCAACCCUGAUCCAGCCAUGCCGCGUGAGUGAAGAAGGCCUUCGGGUUGUAAAGCUCUUUCGGCCGGGAAGAAAUCGCACGGGCUAAUACCCUGUUUGGAUGACGGUACCGAAGUAAGAAGCACCGGCUAACUACGUGCCAGCCGCCGCCGUAAUAC